UACGUAGGGGGCAAGCGUUGUCCGGAUUUACUGGGCGUAAAGAGCGUGUAGGCGGCCAGGUAGGUGGGUUGUGAAAACUGGAGGCUCAACCUUCAGAGGUCGACCCAAACCCCCUGGCUAGAGUCCGGAAGAGGAGAGUGGAAUUCCUGGUGUAGCGGUGAAAUGCGCAGAUAUCAGGAAGAACACCCGUGGCGAAGGCGGC
rnacentral:rRNA from 1 species